CCAGAAGAGCAGUCAAGACCACAGAAGUAGACAUUGUAGAACUUCAGAAGAGGAUUUCAGAUGAUUGUGCUGCAUAACCUGGAGAACAACUCCUGCUGACCAUAGUGGGAGAUCAAAGAGAUGUCGUCGGGGCUGUAAGAGGAAGGCUGAGGGCAGUCCAACCAAUCAGUGGCCAGAAGCCGAGGGUAUCCUUCUUCAGGGGCGGAGCCUGGAACUGCUUGCAGUGGAGGCAGUGAAGAAGGAAGAGCCGACCAAAGUCUCUGUACAGGAACAGCCCUGACUGACACCAGGCCGCCUCUGCUCACUCUCCACAUGUUCUGCCCUGAAAAAUGCAUGAGGAAAGAAUUACCUGGUUGUCUGAAGGCCCAUUCCUCCUCUGCAUCCAAGUGAACUCCACCUGCCCUGUCUGGAUCUGACGGAAAGAAGGCAUGGCCAACAGAUCCACCUGCUCCAUCAAAGGGAUAUCC